UUAUUUUAAAUGAAUUCCCAGAAUAUGACGCUAUAUGAGGUAUUUCUAUUUUUUUUAUUUUUAAUUGAUAUAUUCCUUUAGUUUUUCCUAAAAAUCGAUGUGUUUUUUAUUUUGCAUGAAUACUUCAAAGAACUAUACUCUAACUUUCCAUUUACUUAUCAACAAACACUCUGACUUUAUCAUCAUUCUCUUGACAAAAACCCUAGGUUGAGUUUCAUCAAAAAUCUUCCAACAUCAACUUGAACAUCAUCUCUUUUCAACGCCAACUCUUCCAACAUCAUCUCUUUUCAAAAAUCAUUGAAGCUUCAUCAUCACGUUUGACGUACGUAACUCGCCACUAAAAUGUUCAUAGAAUUGUUCAUAGAAAUGAUAAUACCACUGAAAUGUUAUUUGAA
rnacentral:lncRNA from 1 species